UGUGUGUUUGUGCGUGCGUGUGUGCGUGCGUGCGUGCGUGUGGUACAUUGGUUGUUUUUGUGUCUUUUUAACUGUUAUAAUUAUUGUGCUUUCUACAGUGCAAGCUAUUUAAAUUGCCAACACAAAUAAUAUCUAAAGUGUGACAAUGAUUUUUAACUAGAUUAAAUGUAGUAAAACAUGAUAAGAUUUAAAAACUCAUCGUGAGAAACAUUUACAACAAAAAAAGCGACAAUAUUCCUAAAAAAUAAAACAUUGUCCGGAAUUAGGUAUCUGCCCAAUAAUUGAUAAAACAGCUGAACAUGUGCAUAUGUAUUUGUAAAUAUGUAUAAUGUAAUUUUAUGACAAUCAUAACAUUUACAUCUGUAUAAUAGUUUAGCACUUAACUUGACAAAUACAAACUAUACCAUAUAUUACAAAACAUUUAUAUAAGUUGAAAACAUAAAUGUGGAUGGGAACGCGAUUUUGAUCAUUGUGGCGCUAACGUGAAUAACGAGAAAAAGCGAGAAUAAAAUCGCGCACUCUUUUCCCCUUGAUUUUUCAUGGUAUUUUCGAGCUUAAAACUUAGUUAUUUGUUGUCAACAUAAAAAAACACGUCAAUUUCGGCAAUAAACCCUCUGCAACACUAUUCGUUGAUCAGAAUAUGCUUGAUCGUGAAAUGGUUGUUUAUAACCGAUAUUUGUUCACAUUCUGACAAACAGCGCAGUAACCGAAACACCGUUUCCCGGUUUAUCACGAGGAACAUCCGGUGUUAAACUUCAACGUUUCUUGGUUUAAAUUGUGGAAUUACAAGUGGUGCUGAACCAUGUAGCCAAGAUGUGCACUACCAAUACUCAUGGGAUUUUGCCCAGCAAGUCCACUAUCCACAUCAUGCCAACAAGUUGGGCCGAUAUAUUUCGCCACCCCACAGAAGUGUCAUGUGUUUUGCAUGUGUGCCUAAGGUUCAGCUAUGUUUUUAUGGAAAGUAGACAUUUUAUCUAGUGGACGAGGCCGAAUUGCCGGGGAAAGGAAGUGACAGUGUCGUGAGCCUGGCCCACCACUACUUUCAGCACUAUGGUGUCGGUGAAAAACAUGCUGAGGUUUAUUUCGAUAAUGCUGUCGGCCAAAACAAGAACAGUGCUGUGCUUUGGUAUGCCAUGUGACGUGUAAUGACAGGACUGCAUGAGAGUGUAACACUAAACACUAUGUUGGCUGGGCACACCAAAUUUGCUCCUGACUGUCACUUCGGCAACUGGAAGGUCAAGUGGCGAUGUUGUAAUGCCGAGAAUCUUGCCCACACUGUUUUCACCUCUUCAAAGUCCGGCCACAACAUCUCACACUUGGUUUAUGACCCUCAACAGCCAAUCACAGUUCACAGUUGGAAAUCAUUCCUAGAUACAUAUUUCAAAACUAUAAAGAAUAUUACCAAAAACCACCAUUUCUAUGUAUCAAAACAUAAACCAGGAGUUUAGUAUGCAAAGAGUUUGUAGAUUCCUCAGAAAUUGAAGUUAUUAUUUUGAGGAUGAGUCCAGAAUGUGGUGUUUUGCCUGAAAUAAAGCACGCACCGUGCCUAGAAGCUGCACGUAAAUGGUACCUUCAAUAUUAUUUUGGUCCAUUCUUUAGAUCUGAGUCAUCAAGAUCUGCAGUAUGCCCUAAACCAACUCUGUGUAAAGUCGAAGUUUACUCAAUUGUUGGUGAAAUGUUGAUUGUAGAUCAAAUGUUUGUGGCAAAUAUGAAAGAAAUGAGUAAAAACUGGCAUUAUCAAAUGUAACCAUAGCAACAGACUGUUGUUUUAUGUAGUUCUUUUAUGUCAUUUUGUACAUAUAAUGAGCAAUGUGUACUCAUUGUUUCUAUGAAUUAGUUUAUGUGUUAGCUAUAACAGACAGUUAAGUUAGUAUUUCGGCAUGGACACUGCAUUUAAAAUAAGAACAUUUUUAGUGGACAUUGUUUUCAAACUGGCUUACCAAUGUCUUUUGAUUUCUUUGUACAAAAAUGACUAGAAACUUUAGUUUUUAUACCUUAGAUACUUGGUAUCAUUUACAUGCCAAUAACUUAAAACGCAUUGUAUAUUGAGAACACAUUAUUUGUGGCAGACUUUGAAAAUGAUUGGAAAUAGCAUUUUCAUUAGUAACCAUAGCAACCGAUUUUUGCUUUGACCUUUGUGGCCAAUUUCUAUGUCAUUAUAGACAUUAGCAAUGUGUACUUGCUAUUUUAAUGUUGAAGUUUAUGUAACACUAGUAAAGAUAAGUGAUAUAUUUAAACAGGUAUCUUGACAUAUAUAUAAUAUUUAAAAUAAGAACAGUUUUGUUCACAUUGUUUUUUAUCCCUGUGUUUCAUAAUGUUUCAUAUGUUUUAUAACUUUUGUGAAAUUUAACGUGAAACUUUAGAGUUAAUUUCUGUAAAUACUUAGUAUCAUAAAGAUGUCAAUAACUUAUAAAUAAAAAUAAAUUAUGCGGACUUUCAAAAAUGAAUGGUAAUAGCAUUUUCAUAAGUAAACAUAGCAACUGAAUUUUGCUUUGACCUUUGUUGUAAGUUUCCUUAUCAUUAUGGACAUUAGCAAUGUGUACUUGUUAUUUUCCUUUUGUAGUGUAUGUGAUACUAGUAAAGAUAGUUUUAUAUUUUAAUAUUUUGACUUGUAUACUUCAUUCAAAAUAAGAAUAGAUUUAGCGAAUAUUUCGUUCAAAUUGUGUUAAAGCCCUCUGUUACAAAAUGUUCCAUAACCAUUGUUUUGAUUUUUAAUAUUUGACUUACAACUUCAGAUUUUAUUUCUGCAAUUGCUUGGUAUCAUAAAAAUGUCAAUAACUUAAAACACAACUUUAUGAAAAACAUUAUUUUUUGAGAAACAUUUAGAAAAUGAGUGAAAAUGGCAUUAUCAAUAGUUACCAUAGCAACCAAAUGCAGUUAUGAAGUUUUCGUAAAUUUUUGUUAUCAAACUAUGAGUGCUUAUUGUUUCUAUGCUAAAACUCAUAUGUUACAUGUAAAUAGUCCUUGACAUGAUACUUAUCUGACAUGGAUAUUUCAUUCUAAAUAAACACAUUAGACCAUACAUUUUGUUCAUUUCGAUUUCUACAGCCGUGUUACGAAAAGUACUAUAUUUUUUUAGUUUUUGUGAAUUUUGACUUGAAACUUUGGAUUUUUGUUCUAGAAAUACUUGGCAUCAUUAAGGUUACAAUAUCUCAAAAUGUCAUUUUUGUGCCAGAAGGAUCAUAUUCCCAUUCC